rnacentral:lncRNA from 1 species
GAGUUACCUUUUCUGGUUUCUCCUCUUCACCUGUUGGUUCUUCAGGUUUCACCUCUUCAACUGCUGGCUCUUCAGGUUUUUCUUCACAUGCUAGUUCAUUAGGUGUUUCUUCCCGUGUUGAUUCUUUGGGUGUCUCUUCAGUUAUUGUCUUUUCAGGUUUCUCUUCAACCUUUGGUUCUUCAAGUUUCUCCUCUGCCAAUGGUUCUUCAAAUUUCUCCUCCACAGUUGGUUUUUCACGUUCUUCUUCAACUGCCAGUUCUUCAAGUUUUUUCUCAACCGCUGGUUCUUCAGGCUUCUCCAUAACAGCCAAUACUUCAGAUUUUUCUUCAAUCAUUGUUUCAUCAUUAUCUUUUUCAACUACUAGUUCUUGAGGUUUUUCCUCGACUGAUUCAUAGUCAGCAAUAUCAUUGUUGGUAUUGCAAGGAAUUGCAUUAUCUAUCUUGUCCUUUGGGUCUUCCAUUGGAAAAUUCUGCAAGAAAUUUAGAGUUCUACUUAGUAUUUAAAUAGAUAAACAUAUGUAAAUUCGUUGCACAUAUAAAGCCUAAUUUGAUGAAUAAACUUUGUGACAAUGUUUAAUCCUGACCUUCUCUAGAAGAGCUUCUGUUUCAGGUUUCUCCUCUUCAACAAUUAGUUCUUUAGGUGUCUUUUCAACCGUUGGUUCUUCAGUUUUCUCUUCAAGUGCUAAUUCUUCAGGUGUUUCCUCCCCUUCUAGCUCUUCAGGUGUUUCUUCAGCCGCUGGUUCUUGAGGUUCCUCCUCAACCACUGGUUCUUCAGGUUUCUCCUUAACCGCUGGUACAUCAAGUUUCUCUUCAAUAGUUGGUUCUUCAGGUUUUUCUUCAACUACUGACUCUUCAAGAUUUUCCUCAACUUGUGGAGGGUGAGCAACAUCAUUAUUGGUAUUGCAUGGAGUUUCACUGCCAGUUUUGUCGUUUGAGUCUACAACUAGCAUAUUCUGCGAAAGAAUUUAAUGUUUCACUUAGUCUAUCAAUGAAGAAGCAGAUGUGAAUCAUUGCACAUACAUAACUAAUAAGAUGGAUAAACUUUGUGACAGUGCUUGACCUCACCUUUUUGGAUGUCUCCUCUUCAAGUGCUGGUUUCUCUUCAAAUAAUAGUUCGUUAGGUGUUUCUUCCCGUUUUGGUUCUUCAGGUGCUUCUUCAGUUAUUGGUUUUGCAGCUUUCUCCUCAAUUGUCUCCUCAACCAAUGGUUCUUCAAGCUUCUCUUCCAUUGUUGUUUCUUUAGGUUUCUCUUCAAUUGCCGGUGGUUCAGGUUUUUUCUCAUCCACUGGUUCUUCUGGCUUCUCUGAAACUGCUGUUUCUUCUGAUUUCUCUUCAAUUGCUUGUUCUUCAUGUUUUUUUUCAACUACUGGCUCUUCAGUUUUUUCCUCAACUGAUGCAUAGUCAGCAAUGUCGUUGGUAUUGCAUGGAAUUGCAUUGUCUGUCUUGUCCUUUGAGUUUACAAUUGGCAAAUUAUGCAAGAAAAUUUUAAGUUUCAUUUAGUCUUUCAACAGAUAAACUUAUGUAAAUUCGUUGCACAUAUAAAGCUAAUAUGAUGGAUAGUUUUUAUGACAGUGUUUAUUUGUCACCUUCUCCUGAAGAGCUUCUGUUUCAGGUUCUUCCUCUUCAAUUGCUGGUUUUUCAUCUUUCUUUUCAACAACUAGUUCUUCAGAUGUGUCUUCAACUGUUGGUUCUUCAGGUUUCUCUUCAAGAGCUAGUUCUUCAGGUGUUUCCUCCCCUGCAAGCUCUUCAGGUGUUUCUAUAGUCGCCGGUUCUUCAGGUUUCUCUGUAAUCUCUAGUUCAGGUUUCUCCUCAACUGGUACUUCAGAUUUCUCCUCAAAUGUUGGUUCUUCAGGUUUCUCCUUAAUAGCUGGUACACCAGGUUUCUCUUCAAUGAGUGGUUCUUCAGUUUUUUCUUCAACUGCCGAUUCUUCAGGAUUUUCCUCACUGUCUGGAGAGUGUGCAACAUCAUUAUUGGUAUUGCAUGGGAUUUCACUGCCAGUUUUUUCGUUCGAGUCUACAAUUAGCAUAUUCUGCAAAAAGAAUUUAAUGUUUCACUUAGCCUUUCAAUAAAGAUGCAGAUGUGAAUCAUAGUACAUACAUAACUAACAAAAUGGAUAAACUUUGUGAUAGUGCUUGACCCUUACCUUUUCCAAAAGAGUUACCUUUUCAGGUUUCUCCUCUUCCAUGGCUGGUUCUUCAUGUAUCUCUUCAAAUGCUAGUUCCUUAGGUGUUUCUUCAAUUACUUGUUUUUCAGGUUUCUCCUCAAUUUUUGGUUCUUUGAUUGUCUCCUCAACUGAUGGUACUUCAAGCUUUUCUCCCACGGUUGGUUUUUCAGGUUUCUCUUCAACUGUCGGUUGUUCAGGUAUUUUCUCAACCGCUGGUUCUUCUGGUUUCCCCGAAACCCUUGAUUCUUCAGAUUUUUCUUCAAUUGCUGAUUCUUCAGAUAUCUCUUCAACUAUUGCUUCUUCAGUUUUUUCCUCAACUGAUGCAUAGUCAGCAAUGUCAUUGUUGGUAUUGCAUGGAAUUGCAUUGUCUAUUGUGUUCUUUGAGUUUACAAUUGGAAAAUUCUGCAAGAAAAUUUAAAGUUUCAUCUAGUCUUUCAAUAGAUAAACAUGUAAAUGCGUUGCACAUAUAAAGCUAAUAUGCUGAAUAAACUUUGUGAGAGUUAAUUCUCACCUUCUCCUUAAGAGCUUCCAUUUCAGGUUCCUCCUCUUCAAUUGCUGUUUUUUCAACUUUCUCUUCAACAACUAGCUCUUCAGAUGUAUCUUCAACCGUUGGUUCUUCAGGUUUCUCUUCAAGUGCUAGUUCUUCAGGUGUUUCUAUUGCUGCCGGUUCUUGAGGUUUCUCUUCAGUCUCUGGUUCUUGAGGUUUCUCCUCAGCUGGUACUUCAGAUUUCUCCUCAAAUGUUGGUUUCUCCUCAACUGCUGGUACAUCAGGUUUCUCUUCAAUGACUAGUUCUUCAUUUUUUAUUUCAACUGCCGGUUCUUCAGAAUUUUCCUCAAUGUCUGGAGAGUGAGCAACAUCAUUAUUGGUAUUGCAUGGAAUUUCACUGCCAGUUUUGGUGUUCGAGUCUACAAUUAGCAUAUUCUGCAAAAAGACUUUAAUGUUUCACUUAGCCUUUCAAAAGAAGAGCAUGUGAAUCACUGUACAUGCAUAACUAACAAAAUGGAUAUACUUUGUGAUAGUACUUGACCCUUACCUUUUCCAAAAGAGUUACCUUUUCAGGUUUCUCCUCUUUCAUUGCUGGCUCUUUAUGUAUCUCUUCUAAUGCUAGUUCCUUGGGUGUUUCUUCAGUUACUUGUUUAUCAGGUUUCUCCUCAAUUUUUGGUUCUUUGAUCGUCUCCUCAACUGAUGGUUCUUCAAGCUUUUCUCCCACUGUUGGUGUUUCAGGUUUCUCUUCGAUUGUCGGUUGUUCAGGUAUUUUCUCAACCGGUGGUUCUUCUGGUUUCUCCAAAACCCUUGAUUCUUCAGAUUUCUCUUCAAUAGCUGAUUCUUCAGAUAUCUCUUCAACUUCUGGUUCUUCAGUAUUUUCCUCAACUGAUGCAUAGUCAGCAAUGUCAUUGUUGGUAUUGCAUGGAAUUGCAUUGUCUGUUGUGUUCUUUGAGUUUACAAUUGGCAAAUUCUGCAAGAAAAUUUGAAGUUCCAUUUAGUCUUUCAAUAGAUGAAACAUAUUUAAAUUCAUUGCACUUAUAAAGUUAAUAUGCUGAAUAAACUUUGUGACAGUGUUAAUUGUCACCUUCUCCUGAAGAGCUUCCGUUUCAGGUUCCUCCUCUUCAAUUGCUGGUUUUUCAUCUUUCUCUUCAACAACUAGCCCUUCAGAUGUAUCUUCAACUGUUAGUUCUUCAGGUUUCCCUUCAAGUGCUAGUUCUUCAGCUGUUUCUAUAGCUGCUGGUUUUUCAGGUUUCUCUUCAGUUGCCGGUUCUUGAGGUUUCUCCUCAGCUGGUACUUCAGAUUUCUCCUCAAAUUUUGGUUCUUCAGGUUUCUCCUCAACUGCUGGUACAUCAGGUUUCUCUUCAAUGACUGGUUCUUCAUUUUUUAUUUCAACUGCCGAUUCUUCAGGAUUUUCCUCGAUGUCUGGAGAGUGAGCAACAUCAUUAUUGGUAUUGCAUGGAAUUUCACUGCCAGUUUUGGUGUUCGAGUCUACAAUUAGCAUAUCCUGCAAAAAGAAUUUAAUGUUUCACCUAGCCUUUCAAAAAAAGAUCAUGUGAAUCACAGUACAUGCAUAACUAACAAAAUGGAUAAACUUUGUUA